GUGCUGGUUGCCCGCGCUCUCG
rnacentral:miRNA from 1 species